AUCACCCAUAAUAUUUUGAACAUUCAGAAACACACCUAGCGAAGCGCACUAGCAACGACCUAACAACAAUGGCUACCAAGAUAUUAUCCCUCCUUGCGCUUCUUGCCCUUUUUGUGAGCGCAACAAAUGCGUUCAUUAUUCCACAAUAUUAGUUAUACUCUUAAUGUCACGAUGUAUAUGUUUGAUUAAAUUGUUUAAUAGAUAUAAUCAAAGAUAAAUAACUUGCAUGGCUCCGUAGGAUAUUAUGUGUAUCUUGUUCAUGAUCACUAAUGGUCCUCAUAGGCACCAUUUGAUUUGCUGCUCCCAUUGUCUCAAUUUCCAUUGUAUUGUCAUCGUUGACCCCCGACGCUCGAAAUUCUGCAGGUGGUGUUACAAUAUGUCUCCGUGGACUCGUAGCACAGUUUGGAGAUUUAAGUCUUAGGGUGAGCGCUGUUGGUAGACCACUGUAUGUGUCUGCACGACGGCCACCAUAUUUGACUUUUUAUUUUAUAAACCGAUGUAUUUAUACAAAUAUUAAUGUACCUGAUGCAGCUCUGUGCAUGAUGCAGAAGAAACAUCACCAGUUUCUUCUUCUCCACCGUCAACCAUGGGUCAACAAUGCAGCGACGCCGCCAGUUCCCUUUCUUAUAUGCACCGCUCUGUCUAGUCUCGGGUAGCCAUGUUUACGCUAUUUUUUGUGGUCAUUUACGGUCUAUAAAGUUUGUUCCUGCAUGCAUGGAGAUAUUAUCGGAGACGUGACAACUACCCGAUAGAUUUUAUCUCGGUUUGUUGAAACAAUUUUGUAUUUACUCAACUAAAUGAAACCAGUUACGCAAUUUUCUG